UAAGCUCUAUGUACUUUCACA
rnacentral:miRNA from 1 species